GAGAUCACUACCUUCGCUUUGCAAAUUGAGAAUCCAUGGUUAGAUGAUUGGAAUGGAGUCACCAGCCUGAAUGUGGCAAAGUUGUAACAUAAGAAUCUCAGCCGUGAAGUUGCUUGGCCAAGCGGAAGCUCCGCCACCUCAGCACAGUGUCCGGCUGUGGUCCCUGGAUUUCCUGGAUCACAAAGAUAUAUUCUCUGGGCACUGGCAUUUAUCCAGAGUAGAGUUUGAGCUCAGGAUGUGUGUACAACUACAUGUCCGCACUUGACUGAUUGCAUCUCAGGACAAAGUGUGGGUCAGAGAAGGCACAGCAGAGUCACGCCUGUGUAUGUUUCGUCCCUGCUACUGCAAUGUCAUUGUCUGGAGCUUUUGUGAUGAGCAAUCCAUCAGGAGCACCGCAUGCUGUACAGUGUUAAGAGCCGUGUCAAGCCAGAGUCUAGUCUCAUUUUCAGAUCUUGUGGUUACUGAUGACACAUCUUCUGAAAAUGAAACAGUAGCCUUUUGCUAAGCACCAUACUUACCAACUCCCCUUCUGCAGAUGUCCAGAUGCCUCUAGUGUUAGGUCAGGAGGAUUAAACAGAAAAUAACAACAACAAACAACAACAGAAACCAACUCAUUGACCUAUCAAAGCUGAAAUACACCACACACACACACACACACACACACACACACACACACACACACACCAUAUCUUGAUUGCUGCCAUUCCAGUACUCACUGAUUUUAUCAAGGGAAAAAUAGCAGCGAAAAUGGCUUAUUCUUCCUCAAGCCAGCUCUUGAAUAGAAAACAGAGUGUGUGGGACUGCAAUGUGUCAGGAACAGGGAAAUAGAGGUCCUGCCUUGCUGGGUUGGCCUUCCUGAUCUCAACCCCUCCACCCCAGUAGAGUUGGAAAAAACACAGCAGUUCCUAUUUCAAAUUACACAGUUGGAUGAUGUUUCUCUUGGCUCCAAGUAGAAAGGCUGGUGCCCAGAGCGAUUUUUUGGCAAAAGUGCAAUAUAUGAAGUUUUUCUUCCCUUCUAACAUUCUCAGCAUCACUCUUAAUCACUUUUCUCUUGAUCUCUAUCCAAGUUUCCCAAGAAGGAUUUCUUUUUUCUCUCUUGCCUCAUCUACUUGUGAACUCAGAGGGAUCUGCGACAGUUUCUCCAUCUCUAAAAUCUGUGGCAGUGUUUCACAACUGUAAUGUGUAUAUGAAUCUGCUAUACUUAGUCCUUUUUCUGAUAACAAAACACCUGAAUCUUAGUAAUUUGUAAAAAAGAGAGGUUGCUCUAACUCACAGUGUGGAUAGCUGGGAGUUCAAAUAAUAUUGCACUAGUUCUGGUGAGAAAGCUCCUGGCUACAUUGUAUCAUAGAGAGAGGGAGAGAUGGCAUGGCAAGACAGAAAGCCAGAGGGCAAGGAGAGGCAAGUAUUGCUUUGUUACAUCAACCUCUUCCAAGAACUGACUCAGUGUUCAUGGAACAGUGUUAGUUCCUUCCAUUCCUUUUAUACCCAUCAAUCUUGGACACCUAGUUUCCUCUCAUUAGGCUCUACUACCUCCCAACAUGAUGGCAUCUGGGCUAAAAUCAGAGCACAAAAACCCAUGUUGAACAUAUUCAAACCACAGCCAGACCAUACACAUAGUAUUAUGAAAAUGCAAACCCAGAACCAGUAGUUCUGGAGUGGAGUAUGAAUCUGUAUCUCUGAUAUGCUUCUAGCAAAGAUGGUGUGGCACAAAGCCAUAAACCAAUGCCAGGGGGAAGCCAACCAAAACUGCUGUAUCAGUAUUUAAGUAGGAAAAGGAAGUUCUACAGGUGCUGAACUCUCUGGGAAAAAAAAUGAUGAUGGCUGAGGCCUGAGCUCCUGCAGGCUAUUUUAGUCUAGGAAUUAAAAAGUGAUUGCUCACACUUUUAGCUUUGUGGGGCUUACACUCAGGAAACAUGACCAGCUGGACACCUCAGCACUGGAUGUCCCCAGGGAAGGAGGACCAGAUCAGC
rnacentral:lncRNA from 1 species